GAAAUGCGAUAAGUAGUGUGAAUUGCAGAAUUCAGUGAAUCAUCGAAUCUUUGAACGCACCUUGCGCUUCCUGGUAUUCCGGGGAGCAUGCCCGUUUCAGAAUCAUUAUAACCCUCAUCAAGUAAUUGAUGGAUUUUGGGCUCUCUUUUUCUCGUCUGAGAAAAUAGCCUUAAAAUGAUUUUUGUCUGCUACCGUAUGCGCGGAGUAGUAUCAAAGUGCAGCAGAGCAAUCUUUACAUUUUGAUCUCUUCGUUAUACUAUGGUAAUGGAUGAACCCACCUAUUAAACAGAUCUGCGCGGCCUUAAAAAUCCAAUCGGGUCUGUAUAACUUGGUCUGAAAUCGGGCAAGAAAACCCGCUGAACUUAA
rnacentral:misc_RNA from 1 species